rnacentral:rRNA from 1 species
GAAACGACUGCUAAGACUGGAUAGGAAAAGUAAAGGCAUCUUUACUUUUUUAAAAGACCUUCUUUGAAGGUAUGCUUAAGGAGGGGCUUGCGACACAUUAGUUAGUUGGCAGGGUAAAGGCCUACCAAGACUAUGAUGUGUAGCUGGACUGAGAGGUUGAACAGCCACAUUGGGACUGAGACACGGCCCAAACUCCUACGGGAGGCAGCAGUAGGGAAUUUUCGGCAAUGGAGGAAACUCCGACCGAGCAACGCCGCGUGAACGAUGAAGUACCUCGGUAUGUAAAGUUCUUUUAUUAAGGAAGAAAAAAGAGUGGAAAAACUCCCUUGACGGUACUUAAUGAAUAAGCCCCGGCUAAUUAUGUGCCAGCAGCCGCGGUAAUACAUAAGGGGCGAGCGUUAUCCGGAAUUAUUGGGCGUAAAGGGUGCGUAGGCGGUUUAAUAAGUCUAUAGUUUAAUUUCAGCGCUUAACGCUGUUGUGCUAUAGAAACUGUUUUACUAGAGUGAGUUAGAGGCAAGCGGAAUUCCAUGUGUAGCGGUAAAAUGCGUAAAUAUAUAGAGGAACACCAGAGGCGUAGGCGGCUUGCUGGGACUUUACUGACGCUGGGGCACGAAAGCGUGGGGAGCAAACAGGAUUAGAUACCCUGGUAGUCCACGCCGUAAACGAUGAGUACUAAGUGUCGGGUAAAACCGGUACUGAAGUUAACACAUUAAGUACUCCGCCUGAGUAGUACGUACGCAAGUAUGAAACUUAAAGGAAUUGACGGGACUCCGCACAAGCGGUGGAUCAUGUUGUUUAAUUCGAAGAUACACGAAAAACCUUACCAGGUCUUGACAUUUUCUUGCGAAGUUAUAGAAAUAUAAUGGAGGUUAUCAGGAAAACAGGUGGUGCAUGGUUGUCGUCAGCUCGUGUCGUGAGAUGUUAGGUUAAGUCCUAAAACGAGCGCAACCCUUGUCGUUAAUUGCCAGCAUAUAAUGAUGGGGACUUUAACGAGACUGCCAAUGAAAAAUUGAAGGAAGGUGGGGAUUACGUCAAAUCAUCAUGCCCCUUAUGAUCUGGGCUACAAACGUGAUACAAUGGUUGAYACAAAGAGUAGCUGAAACGCGAGUUCUUAGCCAAUCUCAMAAAAUCAAUCUCAGUUCGGAUUGAAGUCUGCAACUCGACUUCAUGAAGUUGGAAUCGCUAGUAAUCGCGAAUCAGCAUGUCGCGGUGAAUACGUUCGCGGGGUUUGUACACACCGCCCGUCA